rnacentral:lncRNA from 1 species
UCAGUUUUUGGGUGGACGUAUCGUUUUGGAGGGCCACCACUCAACCCACUGCAGCCGGUGAACGGAAGUUCUUCUUGGAGCGAUUCCAGCUAGAAAAUUCAAAAGGAAUCGGUUUGCAACCUACAUGAAGUAAUGGCCCAGAUGAUGGUCUUCAGUGGUUCCUAAGACCAGUUGGCAAAAACCUUAAAGUCUGACAAUACCAAGCCUUGCUGAGGAUUCGAGCGAUCGUCAUCCACUGCCAGCGGGGGCGUCAACCGGAACAAGCACUCUGAACGCCCUCUGGUAACAUCUCAUAAAUGGGACACACGCACAUCCCCUGACCCGCAAACUCCACUCCCAGGUACUCAUUAGUACUCAGUGCGAUUCCUCACCCGGCACCGAGGCUGGGGCGUGAGCUUGAGGAAGGUUGUUCUCUGGAAGAGGGGCUGCAGCCAGGGGGCCACUGAUCUGACCAGAAACUCAUUCACACGGGAGGUGUCUGCAGCCUCCCAGGCCCAGCCACUCUGCCCACCAGCCAAGCUCAGAAGUUUGGCCUCCAUCACUGUCCAAGGCCUUCCGGGGGAUCCUGGGGAAGCGGGGACCUUGGACCGGCUACCAGCCUCCUGCUGGAGAUGACAGGAAGACAGUCCCCCUGCCGGGAGGGACGAUGAAGACAGAUUGCCACCGUGAACGCUCUUGCACCAGGUGGCUGAGGUCUCCCGGGAGCUGCAGGCGACGGCGGGCACCCCCUCUCCGUGAGAACACCCAGAAUCGGGGGUGAAACAGCCACCAGACCAGCGUCCCCUGGUCAGCGGGAAGAAAGCGGCCGGCCCGGGGUCCCGUCCAGGGCAAGGCUGGGUGCCCCCGGAGGGGAGCUGGGAAGACCCCCUUCACGGGCC